UGUCUCAAAAAUAAAUAAACGUUAAAAAAAAAAAAAAAAAAGACGGUCCAGGACAUACACAGAAGUCAAAUGAUCCAAAGAAAGGCUUGAGCUCUUUGCAUAAGUGUGGCUGCUACCACCACGGCGUGGAGGCAUCCAGAAGAACUGAGAAAUAAUGCUAUCGGUCUAGAGUCAAAUGCCAGCUUCAGAGCUCAAUUCUGCCAGCAGUCAGUGUCUUUGUUUCCAUGGUAAAUCACGUGGAAAGCUUUUUCAAAAUUUGGAAUCCUCACAGCGUGGGGAGAGACCGUGACCAAUUUCAAUGGUUCAAAAGCUUCCUGCGGAUUCUAGGGAUCCGACACAAGGGUCUAGAGUAUUAUCAGUCGGUUGGUCUAUCAGAGGAUUUGCCCGCUCUUGAAAAAGCUGGAAUCCACCGUGGAGAAUAUGUCACUUGUCCCCCAAUUGUUGCUUUGUUGUUGUUGUUGUCGCUGUUGGCUAUUUCAUCUGAGAAAUUGGCUAACUCCGGCAUUCUAACACUUUGUGGACUUCCACGACAAAUUCCCUAAAUAUGUGACCCCAGUUUGGCAAUAUUGCAGUUUGUCUAGUGAGGCCGUAUGUCCCCGCCAGGUGAGGAAUGGCGAGAAGCCAAAGUAUCACUUCUGCGUUACACUUCAGUUUCUGAAGCUACCAGCAAAUCAUCCCCAUACCGCAUAAUUAUAGAUCGCUCGGCGAGACAGAUUUCCCUAAACGGGCUAGACAAAACAGUAGGAGUCCCCCAAAUCCUGAGGAACAUUUUGCUCUGAACACUGGACUCCUUCAAAGGUAAAAGCAAAUGGGAAUUGGAACUCAUUAGCUAGAGGAACAGAAGAAGAAAAAAAAAAAACACAGCAGAAUGUAGAGAAAAACUGUAGGCGACAGAAUCAAAGUCAGAAAAGUUGCAGGGGGACCAUGGAGCUUAAUGAAACGACAAACUUAUUCACCUCUCUCAGAUCUGGUACAAAGCCCUACAGGGGCCAACCCUCUAUCUCAAGGUCACCUUCCCUCCUUGCUGGAGGUAUGGGAAUAUGACAGAGUGAGUGUCCCUUUGAAAAAAUGAUGGCUUGUUUUCUGAUUUUUUUCAAUAACGUGUUUGAUUUUCUCCAGCUGAGCCCUUGACGAAGGAUCUGGUUUUCCACAUGGCCCUGGCUUACCUUUUCGGUAAGGUAUUUUUAUCAGUUCUAUAUCCCCAGUUAAACCAGGAUACUAAAUCCCAAAGCCCCAGAGUGGUGCAUGGAUCUGUCUCAGCUGGGUGCUUUUCCAGCAUGGUCUGAGACUGCCACUCUGCGAUUCCCCCUUUCUUUCAGGAGGCACAGGGUCGCCGGGUCAGCCUUUUGUCCAGGGAGGUCCACAAACACUCCACUGGAGCACAGAAUACGGUAGGUUCUCACGUGCACAGCAAGCAUGUCCCCUGCGGAUUUACUCGGGAAUCAGGAGAGAGUAAGAAUGCUGUUCCUCAGCCAGGGAGGGAACCACAGAGAAAGAGGAACCGUUGAGAACUCUUGCUUUUGGGUGGAGUCUUUUAAAAAAUGGUAAUUAGGUCAACAUUGUUUACAGCAUUGCUAAACCUUCUGUGUCCCUACCGAUUUUAUCUACAGUUAUCAACUACUGAGAGAGGGAUGUGAACAUUUCUAACUAUAAUGGUGGAUUAUUUAUAAAUAUAUUCUAAAUAGGAUGCGCAUAAAUGGUGGUCUACUUCCCCUGGCAAUUCUAUCAGUUUCUGCCUCACGCAUUUCGAAGUCCUGUUAUUUAAGUGCGUGCAUAUUCAGGAAUGUCCUGUCCUCCCCUGAAUGCAGCAUAUUAUGAAAUGUUUCCCUAUCACCCUGCUAAUAGUCCUUUUGCGGUCUUCUCUGUCUGAUACUGAUACAGCUACUUCAUGUGUGUAUUAUGGAGUGCUUGGCUGGUAUAUCUCUUUCAUUCUCGCACUUUUAACCAGCCGUGUCUUUAUAUUUAAAGCGUGGUUCUUAUAGAGGGCAUAUUUUGGGUCUUGCUUUUUUACCCAGUCUGAUAAUACCUGCCUUUUGUUUGCAGUCUUUAGGCCAUUUACAUUUAAAGUAAUUAUUAAUCGGACGUGCCUUGAUGUGGUUUUCUUUAUGUUUCCUUGUGCUUCAGGUUCACUGAACCUCGAUCUGUUGGUUUCUGUCAAAUUCAGAAUAUUUCAGGACAUUAUUCUUUGAAGUUUUUCCUGCCUCUUCUCAUUCUGGGACUUCAGUGACAUGAACGCUGGACCAUUUGCUAUUGUCCGACAAGUCCUUGAUGUUCUUUUCUCCCGUCUCUGUAUUUGCCUUCUCUGAUCUUUACUCUCUAAUAUCCACUCUGCUGUAAAUCCCAUCUAGUCUUUCUUUUUAAAGUAUCUUCUUUUUCACUCCUGAUCCUCUGCAUUCUUGAGUACACAGAGGAUAUUUAUAACUGUUUCUGUGUCUUUGUCUAUUAAUUGCCUCAUCUCUGCCACUUAGCGAUCUGCUUCUCCUGAUAGAUUUUCCCCUUGAUUAUGGGUAAUGUCUUCCUGCUUCUUUCCAUGCCUAGUGAUUUUUUUCUGAAAAAAAAAAAAUUAAAUACUGGUAAAAUAUAUAUAACACAAAAUUUACCAUCGUAACUGUUUUCUAAGUGUGCCGUUCAGUGUGCUAGUCAAUGUGUUAACUACAUUCACAUUACUGUGUGACCAUCACUGCCAGACUCCAAACUUGCAAAGCUGAAACCCUGUCUCCCUGAAAAAAUAAUGUCCCUCCCCCCUCCCUCCCCCACCCAGCCCUGGCGGCCACCACUCUACUUUCUGUCUCUAUGAGUCUGAGUACUCUGGGGACCUCAUAUGAUUGGAAUCAUGCAAUAUUUGUCCUCUUGUGAUUUGCUUAUUUCAUUUAGCAUAACGUCUUUAAGGUGCAUCCACAUUGUAGCCUGUGACAGGAUUUUUCCCCUUUCUGAGUCAGGCCUACUGAUAUUUAUUUAUUUAUAUUUGAGAGAGAGAGAGAGAGAAUACACAAGUGAAGCAGGGGGUGAGGGGAGUAGAGAAAGAAUCUCAAGCAGAGUCCACACUCAGUGCAGAGCCCUACACAGGGCUUGAUCCCACGACCCCGAGAUCAUCACUUAAGCUGAAAUCAAGAGCUCGCCACUUAACUGACUGAGCCACUGAGGUGCCCCACGCCUACUGAUUUUUAAAAAAAAAUUUUUAACGUUUAUUUAUUUUUCAGAGAGUGCAAGCAGAGGAGGGACAGAGAGAGAGAGAGAGAGAGAGAGAGAGAGAUACAGAAUCUGAAGCAGGCUCCAGGCUCUGAGCUGUCAGCACAGAGCCUGACACGGGGCUUGAACCCAUGAGCUGUGAGAUCAUGACCUGAGCCGAAGUUGGUGCUAAACCAACUGAGCCACCCAGGCACCCCAAGGCCUACUGAUUUUUAACUGAAUGCUAGACCUUGUGAGGUCCCAUUGUCAGGUCCCAAAUGUUGUUGAAUUCCUUUAAAGAGUGUGGGAUUUUCUUCUAACAAACAGCUUGAAAGGAUCAAAUGGAUCUCUAGUAGCUUAGCUGUUUUCCAGAACAAAGUACAGCAGUCUUUCGAGAAAGACAAUAUCUAGUCUCAUGUACUACAAGGCCUCUUUCCAUGCUGGAUUUUUUCCCAGCCCUGCGUGAGUGCCAAUGACUAUUCAGUCUACAAGUUCCAAAUCAGAUUUCUGGGGAAAAAAAAAAAAAGAAAAAAGCUUCCUUAGGGGCACUAAGCAAAAGGCCAAUUAAAAAAUUUUUUUUAAUGUUUAUUUAUAUUUGAGACAGACAGAGCGCAAGUGGGGGAGGGGCAAAGAGAGAGGGAGACAGAAUCUGAAGCUGGCUCCAGGCCCUGAGCUGUCAGCACAGAGCCUGAAGCGGGGCUCCAACUCAUGACCCAUGAGAUCAUGACGUGACCCCAAAGUCGGACACUUAACCUACUGAACCACUCAGGUGCCCCCAAAGGCCAAUUUUAAAUAUUGUAUUGGUAUCCAUGAAGACUCAAGACACCAUAAAUCUAGAAACACAGUCCUAAUUGGCUCAUUCCUAUUAUAAGAAAUGAUAUUUAUCCUCCUAAUAUAAUAUAAACUUCACUAGGAUAUUACUUCUCAUAUGGACAUCAGGCUUAUACUUGUCUACCACAUUCUAAUUUAUUCUGUGUAACCUGAGUAAUUGUUAGAGGUAUCCAGAUAUUUAAAACCACCACCCCUCUAGUCAAUCAUGCGUCCUAAAAGGGACAUCCAGAAAUUCCUAAAACAAAAGAAACACAAAUUAUUCUUAAAAACUUCCAGAAGGGAUCAUCGGUUCUCAUUUCCUGCACACUCCCCAAAAUACAACGCCCACAAAGGGAGCGAAACAACUAGAAAAGGUGUUCACACUUUUCUCUAACCUUCACAAAAGUCAUAAAAGAUGACACUUCUGUUCUGAAGGCCCAACAAACCAAUCUAAAUGCAUUAGCUAAAGUAGCCAUGGCAAUCCUACAAGCUUUGAUUUGCUCUUAGCUAGUCAAGGGGAGCUAACGCUAAAGCACAUCUUGUUACACCUAUGUAAGUGCCAUGGGGCAAGUAGAAAGGUCCGUGAUUGGCUAAAGGAAAAGACCUGACUCUCUAAAACAGACCCACUAGGUUGUGGGACCUAUUGGCUUUGAGACCUAUUACAGGCGUUAAUAGUCAUUUUGUUUGUGUUAAUUGCCUAUUUUACUGUCGAUUUAUAUGUCCUGUCCAGAGUUGUGGUUUUUUUUAUUAAAAAAAAGUUUUUUAAUGUUUAUUUAUUUUUGAGAGAGAGAGAGACAGAGCAUGAGUCGGGGAGGGGCAGAGAGAGAGGGAGACGCAGAAUCUGAAGCAGGCUCCAGGCUCUGAGCUGUCAGCACAGAGCCCGACACGGGGCUCGAACCCAUGAGCUGUGAGAUCAUGACCUGAGCUGAAGUCGGACGCUUCAGCGACUGAGCCACCCAGGCGCCCCUGUCCUGUCCAGAGUUUUAAAUGCUACUGCGUGGUCACUGUCACAUCAGGUCCUACAACAGAGAGAAAAACAGAGAUUGACCUUGGGUCAACUAUGGAGUAUGUUCGAUGCAUGGGCUUUUGAUCUUAAUCAACAACAUCUUGACAAGAGUGAAAAUCUAGACAUCAUGAAUUCAUGUCCUGGAGCCUGACGUCAUCUGUCCUUGGCCAAAAGAGAAACUGAGAGGGGAAAAGCAGCCCCUGACAUCUGGAACUGAUCUAACAGUUGUAGCUAGAUCUCAGCAUGAUCAUGAGCCCGUCUGAGGCUGACAGCCAGGCCAUUUUGUUCUGUUGGAUGUAAGGACCUUCAUAGACUUACCAGCCUCAGAGGUUACUCUGAGACCAUGGGUAAAAAUGAAACAAAACAAAGCUGCUUCAUAAUUUCAUCUAAGAACAGAUGCAAAUAAGGCCACUGACCAUCCCACGAAGUGCCCAAUGAUAAAGCUGUCACUGGCUUUCUAAUAGCACUCCAUCUGGACCAAAUCCAUGGCUUCCUUGAACCCUUCACCAAAUGACCCACCCAACGCCCAAAUCCUGUAACAGGUUGUUUUUUUUUUUUUGCCUAGCACGGGGGCUGUGGAGCGGGCGUGGCCAGGGUUGUAGCUGGGCCACUUACCCGCUGUGUGCCCGUGUCCCAUACACUGUUGCUCUCCCUAUCUCAGUUUCCCCAGACGCAAAAAAAAACCUAGGAGCAUUCUCUUUCAAAGGGAGCUGGCCACAAACAGGGACUGUUUACCAUUCUUAAUUGUUACUAUCGUAAAUCAUCCCAACCACAGCUCAAGAUCUGGGCUCCAGAGAUGCAGAUCUUCCCAGGAGGCCAGACUAAUUUGGGCCCUGUAAGAGGACUGCAGCCGGCCAGGAGCAUGCCUGUCUGCACUCAGCCCUGCCCACUGCCCCUCUGGUCCUUACCACUUCUUCCCUGGCAUGAGCUGGGCAGAGUGGGUCAGAUGGGAGCUGGGUCCAGGCGGUGGGGGUAGGGCAGGCUGUGCUGGCCACAGUCUUCAAGGGUUUAGGCACAGCACCUCGCCAGGCAGGGCCCCAAGUGUCACAGCCACUACUGCGGCUCCUUAGGCCAUCCAAGUGGGCCAGGCUGGCUCAGGGCAGGCUCAUUCUCCAGGUGAAGCAGAAAGGCUCACAGACCUAUUUCCCCUCCAUCUCCUGUAGAACGCAGCCAGCCUCCCCCGCUCCCCUCACACCUACCAUGGAUGGAAGCAUUGCCGUUAGCUUUAAUGUCUAUAUAGCCAACUCCUUCCGGAAUCUAGAGAUUAUCCUUUAAUUCCACAAGGGUGUGGCUUUUUUAUUAUUUAUUUUUAAUCUUUAUUUAUUUUUGAGAGAGAGACAGAGCACGAGCAGGGGAGGGGCAGAGAGAGAGGGAGACACAGAAUCCGAAGCAGGCUCCGGGCCCUGAGCCGUCAGCACAGGGCCCGACGCGGGGCUCGAACUCACAAACCGUGAGAUCGUGACCUGAGCCCAAGUCGGACGCUCAACCGACUGAGCCACCCAGGCGCCCCAAGGGUGCGGCUUUUUUAAAGAAAGAGGUGGUCAGACCUCACCUUCUACUGAGGGCUGAGCCCUGUCUGUAACCCACCCUCCCUCAGCAGAAGAGAGGGGAUUGCAGCAGACAUCUCCUCCCAGCCCAGCCCUGUAUCCUUUCCCCACGACGCAGCAAUGGAUUGCGAGUUGCAAUUCACGCAGCGCCCUUUAACAUUUCUUUUUCAGUUAAAAAAUCUAUUUAUUUUUAUGGUGGUAAGAUCCACAUAACAUAAGCUUGACCAUUUUAACUCUCAGUGUACAAUUCUGUGGCAUUGAGUACAUUCACGUUCUCGUGCAGACAUCACCGCCAUCCAUCUCCAGGACUUUUCUCAUGAUCUCACACAGAAACUUCAGACCCAUUAAAUCAUAUCUUCCCAUCCCUCCCUCUCCCCCAGCCCCUGGUGACCACCACCCUCCCUUCUGUCUCUAUGAAUCUGAUUAUUCUAAGUACUCAUAUAAGUGGAAUCAGACAGUAUUCAUUCUUUUGUGUCUAGCUUAUUUCACUUAGCAUAAUGUUCUCAAGGGUCAUCCCUGUUCUACCACGUGUCAAAAUCAAAUUCCUGCUUAUGGCCUAAUAAUAUUCCAUUGUCGGGGCGCCUGGGUGGCUCAGUCGGUUAAGCGUCUGACUUCAGGUCAGGUCACGAUCUCGCGGUUCGUGUGUUCAGGCUCUGUGCUGACGGCUCGGAGCCCGGAGCCUGCUUCAGAUUCUCUGUCUCCCUCUCUCUCUCUGCCCCUCCCUCGCUCAUGCUCUGUCUCUCAAUAAUAAAUAAAUGUUAAAAAAAUUUAAAAAAAUAAUAUUCCAUCAUGUGUAUAUACGUAUUUGUUUCUCCAUUCAUUUGUGGGUGGAUAUUUGACAUUUCCACCUGUUGUUGGUAAUGCUGCUACGAAUAUCGUAUAUUAAUUUUGUAUUUAAUGUUCUCAGGAACCACCAUUUUGUCUGUAGUCGGCAGUGUUCUCCAUUCCCACCAGCGGUGCACAAGGGAUUCAACUAUUCCAAACCCUUGGCAGCCCUGUGUUUUUGUUUUGUUUUGUUUUGUUUACUAAUAGCCAUUCUCAUAGGUUGUAAUGAUAUUUCAUUGUGAUCUUCAUUUUGCAUCCCCCUCAUGACUAAUGAUGCUGGGCAUCUUUUCAUAGGCUUAUUGGCCAUUCAUACAUCUUCUUUGGAGAAGAGUUCUUUAUAUAUUCUAGAUACUAGACCUUUAUCAAAUACAUGAUUUGCAAAUGUUUUUUCUCAUACUAUAAGUUGUCCUUGCCCUUUCUUAACGGUGUCCUUUGAUGCACAGACAUUUUUAAUUUUUACGGAGUCCAAUUUAUCUGUGUUUCUUUUGUUACUUGUGCUUUUGGUGUUGUAUAGGAAUCAACUGCUAAAUCCAAAGUCGUGAAGAUUCACCCCUAUGUUUUCUCCUAAAAGUUCCAUGGAUUCAGCUCUUAUAUGUUGAUCAUCGAUUUAAAACUUAAUUUGUAAAUCAGUUAAGGGAAAAGAGUAGAUGAAAUAUGCAUUUAUAUAUUUUUUUAUGAUUAGAGAUACCUUUAUCAGUUCUGUGUGUGUGUGUGUGUGUGUGUGUGUGUGUGUGUGUAUGAAUUCCCAUCUGAGUUUAGUUGCUUUCAGCCUGAAGAAUAUUCUUCAGUAUGUCUUUUUUUUUUAAUGCUUAUUUAUUUUUGAUAGAGAAAGAGAGAGUGCGCACAAGCAGGGGAGGGGCAGACACAGAGGGAGUCAGAGAAUCCAAAGCAGGCUCCAGGCUCUGGGCCGUCAGCACAGAGCCCAAUGAGGGGCUUGAAAUCAUAGACUCUGAGACCAUGACCUGAGCCAAAGUCGGAUGCUCAACUGACUGAGCCACGCAGGCAACCCCCCCACCAUUUGAUUCUUGCAUAUAAUUUCUUUUUUUUUAAUGUUUAUUUAUCUAUUUUGAGUGAGAGAGAGAGCAGGUGUGUGCAAGAGGGGGAGAAGCAGAGAGAGAGAAAGAGAGAGAGAGAGAGAGAGAGAAUCCCAAGCAGGCUCUGCACUGUCAGCAUGGAGCCCGAUGCGGGGCUUAAACUCACAAUCCCGUGAGUUCAACCUGAGCCGAAGUCGACAGUCUGGAGGCUUAACAGACCAAGCCACCCAAGGGCCCUGCACACAGAAUUUUCACAUAUGUCAUUAAGGAAAGGUCUACACAAAUCCCACGAUACUAGUGUUAAACACAGAGACAUGCUACACAGAAUCUAAAUACACUGGACUCUGUUAAACGCCAAGUUUUAACAUACAUUGUUAAGCAAGUACAUCCACGAAACAGUACAACUAAAUACAGUGUUUCACAAACCUAUUACACACCGUGCCCUGUUAAACGCAGCGUUCGCACAUAUCUCAACAAAGCAAUUCAUUCGUGCACCACCCAGUGCUAAAAACACUGCUUCACAGAGGAAUCAUAUACUGAAUCAAUCACACGCGUCGCUCUUAAAUGCCAAGUUUCAGCACGUGUCACUGAAGAAAAGGUGCAUGUGCCACACGGCACUAACCACAAUGUAUCAGAGACAGCACUGUUCCGAAUCACGGACACACCUACCGUGUUUAGCAACUUGCCACGGAUGUAUACCUUUCUUGGUGGCGCAUGCUUAAAAUGUUUUAAAAAUAGCGUAGGGGAGCGCCUGGGUGGCUCGGUCGGUAAAGCGUCCGACUUUUGCGCACGUCAUGAUCUUGUGUCUCGUGGGUUCGGUCCCCACAUCAGGCUCUGGGCUGACAGCUCGGAGCCUGGAGCCUGCUUCGGAUUCCGUGUCUCCCUCUCCCUCUGCCCCUCCCCCGCUCACACUCUGUCUCUAAAAUAAGUAAACAUUGAAAAAAUUAAAAGGAAAAACUAUCCUAUGAUCUAGAAACCAUUAAAUAAAUAAAUAAAUAAAUAAAUAAAUAAAUAAAUAAGCAAGCUUGGGUACAUGAUUAUUAUAUAUGGGUAUAUAUACCCAAUAUAUACCCAAUAUAUAUAUUGGGUACAUGAUAUUAUAUAUAUAUAUAUGUACAUAUAUAUAUACACAUUAUAUAUAUAUAUAUAUUUAUAUUUAUAUAUAUUUAUAUACUUAUAUACUUUAUAUAUGUAUAAAGCUUGGGUACAUGAUUGAUUCCAGAAAGUGAAGUCUCUGUGAAAAACUGCUUAGAAAUGCAUAGUGCAUGUCACCAACUGACGCAUGUUGACAUUGGAAUAAUAGGCCAGCGUGUGUGAUUUAUUCCUUGGCGGUACAUCCCUGUAAAAGAGCGUGUUUAUGCACAUACUCCUCUCUUGACUGACAGAAGUGGAAACUUUGCAGAACAGAGCUGGGGGCCUGAAUAUUUAGUAUACGACGUCUGCCUGAUGCACUCUGUGGAGCCCUGUGUGGUACAUUUGCUCCGGACCUCGUGCCAUACGUUGAAACUCUUCACACAAGUACGACAGGUGGUGACUGACCUGGUACAUAGAUGUCCGUGUGAAAGGAUGCGUGUGACACGGUGUGCGUGUGUACUCAUUUCUUUAUCGCCAUAUAUUGAGACUUCUGUUCAUCAGAGCUCUGUGCGUGACCGAUUUAGUACAGAGAUGACUGAAUCGCUGUGUUCAGUUCUCUGUCACGCAUGUCCCUUGCUGACAUCUGUUGAAACUCGUCCUGUCAGAACUAGGUGCGUGUUUUCUUUGUCGUGGUGAAGUCUCUGGGAACCAUUAUGAUUAAGAAUUGGUGCAUCAUGGCCCUUUCAUGAGGAUGGAACUGAAAGAGAAGGAGGAAGCCCUUGCCGUUCCCAAAGCCAAAGCCCGCAAAGGCUUUGAAAGCCGAGAAAGCUGUGCUGAAAGGUGUCCAAAGUCCCAUACGAAAAAGAAGAUCCGCAUCCACAUUCCGAAGGCAGCCCAGAUAGCCUCCAAAGAGCACCCCCAGGAGAAACAAGCUUGACCGCUAUGCCAUCACCAAGCUCCCCCUGACUUCCGCGUCAGCCAUGAAGAAAAUAGAAGAACACAGCACACUUGUGUUCAUUGUGGACGUCCAGGGCAACAAGCACCAGAUCAAACAGGCUACGAAGAAGUUCUAGGACGCUGACGUGGCCAAGGUCAACAUGCUGAUCAGGCCCGAUGGAGAGAAGAAGGCAUAUGUUCGGCUGACUCCUGACUAUGAUGCUUUGGACGUUGCCAGCAAAAUUGGGAUCAUCUGAGCUAAGCCCAGCUGGCUAAAUCUAAAUAUAAAUUUUUCAACAUACAGAAAAAGAAUUUAUGCAUCAUUUACUCCUCUUUAGUGACGUUAGCACACGGUUGUGUGUGCACUCUGUUUUUAGUGAUCAGUGUUGGCACUCUGCGUUUGAAGGACUAGGUGCAUGAAUGAUUAAAUAUAGUGAUAUCCACCGUGUUUAACGUUGUGUGACUCGUGUAUUUUGUCGUUUGCGACAUGUGUCGAAAUUCAGUGUUUUUCUAAAAAAUUUUAAAUGUUUUUUAUUUAUUUUUGAGAGAGAGACAGAGACAGAGACGGAGUGCAGCGGGGGAGGGGCAGAGAGAGAGAGAGACACAGAAUCCAAAGCAGGCUCCGGGCUCCGAGCGGUCAGCACAGAGCCGGACGCGGGGCUCGAACCCAUGAGCUGUGAGAUCAUGACCCAAGCCAAAGUUGGAUGCUUAACCAACUGAGCCACCCAGGCGCCCUGAGACUCCACAUUUAAAAGAGCUCUGGGAGAGGUUGAGUCAGUGCGGUGACAUCUCUGUGAAUUUCUGGUUAGCAGGUGCUCUUUCCUCUCUUAUUGGUAUGUGUGGAAACCAACUCACCGGAGCUGGGUGCAUAGUUGACUCAGAACAGCGAUGUCGUGGAGAAAUGUUUAGCAUAUGGGCUCUUUGGCUUAGUGCCAUGGAUUGAAACCUGUGUCUCACAAGCCCCCUCUGGAAUAAAGUCAGCCUAACGACCUCUCUUCUAAAGCUUGUUGUACCGUUUAGCCGCGGUGUCCUAGGUGUCCAACUUUCUCUAGUUGCCUAUGUUGAAACAGUGUCUAACUGAGCUCUUUGCAGGAUUGAUGCAGGGGUGAUAGAUCUGUGAAACACUGUGUUUUGGAGAGGGUGGGGGGUUGCUCUGUUUUUAGUAACAUGUAACUAAAAUAUUCUUUACUUAGUAUGUAGUGUGUUACUAUCUAAGUAACAAAACUCUGCAUCUGAGCCCGCACGUGAUUGAAUCAGUACCAUGUCAGGGAAGCGCUGUGUUUAGCAGCCAGAGCUGCCUGGGCUUCUUCUCUCGUUCCCUGGUUCUAUUUAAAAAUUGAGAUAUAGGGGCGCCUGGGUGGCUCAGUUGGUUAGGCGACCGACUUCGGCUCGGGUCAUGAUCUCACACUCUGUGAGUUCAAGCCCCGCAUCGGGCUCUGGGCUGACAGCUCAGAGCCUGGAGCCUGCUUCAGAUUCUGUGUCUCCCCCUCUCUCUACCCCUCCCCUGCUCACACUCUGUGUCUCUGUCUCUCAAUAAUAAAUAAACAUUACAAAAAUUGUUUUAAUAAAAAAAUAAAAUAAAAUAAAAAUUGCGAUAUAGGGGUGCCUGGGUGGCUCAGGCGGUUAAGCGUCCGACUUCAGCUCAGAUCAUGAUCUCACAGUUUGUGAGUUCGAGCCCUCCCCCCCCCCAUUGGGCUCUCUGCUGUCGGUGCAGAGCCUGUUUUGGAUCCUCUGUUCCCCUGUCUCUCUGCUUCCCCUGCUCACGCUCUCUCUCUCUCUCUCUCUCAAAAAUCAACAUUAAAAAAAGAUAUACCCUCUUAGCAGCUUUCACAUAUAUAAUACAGUAUGUUAACUAUAGUCAUUAUGCUGCAUAUUACAUCUCUAAGGCUUAUUUAUUUUUAACCGGGAGUUGUACAAUCUUUUGACCAUCUUCCCCCAUUUUGAACAUUUCCUACCACUCACCUCUGGCAAUCACCAAUCUGUUCUCUGAAUCUAUGGACUCAGUUUUUGUUUUUUUUGUUGUGUGUGUGUUUUUAUUUUAUUAUUUUUUAUUUUUUAUUUUUAUCAUGUUCUUUUUUUAAUUUAUUUUUUAAAAUUUACAUCCAAGUUUAGUUAGCAUAUAGUGCAACAAUGAUUUCAGGAGUAGAUUCCUUAAUGCCCUUACCCGUUUAGCCCACACCCCCUCCCAAAACCUUCCAGUAACCCUUUGUUUGCUCUCCAUAUUUAAUUUUCUUUUUUAAAUAAUUUUUUUAAUGUUUAUUUAUUUUUGAGACAGAGAGAGAGCAUGAGUGGGGGAGGGGCAGAAUGACAGGGAGACACAGAAUCUGAAGCAGGCUCCAGGCUCCGAGCCAUCAGCACAGAGCCCGACGAGGGGCUUGAACUCAUCAACCGCGAGAUCAUGACCUGAGCCAAAGUCGGACGCUCAACCGACUGAGCCACACAGGUGCCCCAUCCAUAUUUAAGUUUCUUAUGUUUUGUCUCCCUCUCUGUUUUCAUAUUAUUUUUGCUUCCCUUCCCUUAUGUUCAUCUGUUUUAUAUCUUAAAUUCUUCAUACCAGUGGAGUCAUAUGAUAUUUAUCUUUCUCUGAUUGACUAAUUUUGCUUAGCAUAAUACCCUCUAGUUUCAUCCACAUAGUUGCAAAUGGCAAGAUUUCAUUCUUUUUGAUUCUCGAGUAAUACUCCAUUAUAUAUAUAUAUAUAUAUAUAUAUAUAUAUAUAUAUAUAUAUAU
rnacentral:lncRNA from 1 species